rnacentral:rRNA from 1 species
GGAGGAGCUUGCGUCACAUUAGUUAGUUGGUGGGGUUAAGGCCUACCAAGACUAUAUGUGUAGCCGGUCUGAGAGGUUGAACGGCCACAUUGGGACUGAGACACGGCCCAAACUCCUACGGGAGGCAGCAGUAGGGAAUUUUCGGCAAUGGAGGAAACUCUGACCGAGCAACGCCGCGUGAACGAUGAAGUAUUUCGGUACGUAAAGUUCUUUUAUUAGGGAAGAAUAAAUGAUGGAAAAAUCAUUCUGACGGUACCUAAUGAAUAAGCCCCGGCUAACUAUGUGCCAGCAGCCGCGGUAAUACAUAGGGGGCAAGCGUUAUCCGGAAUUAUUGGGCGUAAAGGGUGCGUAGGCGGUUAAAUAAGUUUAUGGUCUAAGUGCAAUGCUCAACAUUGUGAUGCUAUAAAAACUGUUUACCUAGAGU